GACGGAGGGGGCUAGCGUUGUUCGGAAUGACUGGGCGUAAAGGGCGCGUAGGUGGUUUUUCAAGUCAGGCGUGAAAGCCCCGGGCUUAACCUGGGAACUGCGCUUGAUACUGGAUGACUAGAGGACGAGAGAGGAAAGUGGAAUUCCGAGUGUAGAGGUGAAAUUCGUAGAUAUUCGGAGGAACAUCAGAGGCGAAGGCGGCUUUCUGGCUCGUAUCUGACGCUGAGGCGCGAAAGCGUGGGGAG
rnacentral:rRNA from 1 species